rnacentral:misc_RNA from 1 species
CGUCGCCGCCAUUUUCAAAGUUUUGUCUGUUAGCAUCCAUUCGCGAUCGGUUUCAGCUUCGCAAAAUCUACAUCAUGAUAUGCGCAUGUUAUUUUUAGUUUUGUUCUAGUUCUUUGUUAUAAAUUUUGGAUUCGACAUAUGAGAUUGUGCGGCCCACCACCUCCGACUUCAGCACUCGUGGACCACUCUUUGUCUGGUCUCUACCCUUCGACCUGUCCGACAUGGGUGACCCUGCUAGGAGCUGAUGCUCCUGUCGGCAUAGCUCUUAGGGUCAUCGAGACACGCAAGCCCCCCGACCGCGGCAAGGUGGUGAUCCAACAGGGGGAUGUUUUUCAUGAAAACGUCGAUUGAAAUCAAAACUUUCAUUAAAAUAGAGAUGAAAGGAAUCGGCAACAGAGAGAGGUUAUUCCGGCAUGUUGCUGUUACAUUUGGCACAUUCAAUGCUGGUACCACCGCCGCCGCCACCAAUAUCCACGUCGCCGCCCAGGCCGUCGCAACAAUCAGGCUAAUCCUGCGGGAAGAGAGGGGCCUGCUGCCGUGCUGCCUGCCCCAGUGCAGCAACCCCAAGUGCCGCUGUCCUGCAGUGCAGCCAUCCCCAGUGCCGGCACCCCAAAUGCCGGUACCUGCAGUGCCGUCACCAGCUAUUAUGCGAGACGGUCCCGCCGAAGACCGCAGCCCAAACAUAAGCGCGGGCUGCCUUUAUGUUGACCAAACUACGCAAUUGCUGUCUCCAGAAGACGCCCAUCACCUAGAGGCAGACGUUGUCCAGCUGGCCCUGAAUAGAGUUAGGGCCCGCUUCACAUUGUUGCAGUAUCUACAACUGUUCACAGGAUAUACAGAAUAAACAGAAGCAGGGAUAAAACACAGCCUUGGGAUGCUGAGCUGAAGCUUUCUUCUCAACUGGUACAAAGACAGAAGAUUUCCAUGCAGAAGUGACUGAGUAUGAAUCCAGCAAGUUAAUUUUCAGAAACUUCUUAAGAAGUAGUCAAUAUACAUGCAUUAUAUUCAUCUGGAUUGUGGUACAUUUACUGGAAAGAAUGAUGCAAAGACCUGGAUGUCUUAUUUGGAUUUAGUCCUUGAGACCAAAAUUUAAAAAGAACAUCAAACUGAAACUUGCAGAAGACAACAGAAAGCUAGAUUCUUAUAGAAAAAUAUUUUCAACUCAUUUUUAAUAUUGCCUAUCAAAAUCUGGAUUCUUUUUAUAAUAAUAAGUGAGAAUUUAUAAAGCACAAUAUCUAAGUAAAAGGCGGACUCAUAGCCCUGAAUAAGAUUACAAAAUAGUAACAAAGAUGUAUAACAAAAUAGUAACAAAGAUGUAAAACCAAGAACAAUGGGAGGACUUGUUGCAUUCCGGCAGUAAAGGGCGAUCACUGUACAUUUAACCAUAGACUCCAGAGAAUAAGGUUAGUGACAUCAGGAGAAUACUAGGAAGAUACUGAGUAAUCUUGAGAAUAUGAAGAAAUUGUAUCAUAUGAAUCUGCAAAAGGGUGAUCAUUACUUUGUUUUUCUAAUCUGCAAUCCUAUUUCAUUUCUGUGAGCCCUGCUGAAGAAAUGAGUGAUAUGCUCAUUUUUGCAUUCUUUCAUUUACAAUAAAGUCAUUUUAAAAGGC